GAGGAUGUAGCUCAAAUGGAUAGAGCGCCUGUCUUCGAAACAGAAAGCUGCAGGUUCAACUCCUGUCAUCCUCG
rnacentral:tRNA from 1 species